rnacentral:rRNA from 1 species
AGCGAACGCUGGCGGCAGGCCUAACACAUGCAAGUCGAACGAACCUUUCGGGGUUAGUGGCGGACGGGUGAGUAACACGUGGGAACGUGCCUUUAGGUUCGGAAUAACUCAGGGAAACUUGUGCUAAUACCGAAUGUGCCCUUCGGGGGAAAGAUUUAUCGCCUUUAGAGCGGCCCGCGUCUGAUUAGCUAGUUGGUUGAGGUAAUGGCUCACCAAGGCGACGAUCAGUAGCUGGUCUGAGAGGAUGAUCAGCCACAUUGGGACUGAGACACGGCCCACACUCCUACGGGAGGCAGCAGUGGGGAAUCUUGCGCAAUGGGCGAAAGCCUGACGCAGCCAUGCCGCGUGAAUGAUGAAGGUCUUAGGAUUGUAAAAUUCUUUCAACGGGGACGAUAAUGACGGUACCCGGAGAAGAAGCCCCGGCUAACUUCGUG